rnacentral:rRNA from 1 species
GCCGUAGGGAAACCGAGUCUUAACCGGGCGUUAAGUUGCAGGGUAUAGACCCGAAACCCGGUGAUCUAGCCAUGGGCAGGUUGAAGGUUGGGUAACACUAACUGGAGGACCGAACCGACUAAUGUUGAAAAAUUAGCGGAUGACCUGUGGCUGGGGGUGAAAGGCCAAUCAAACCGGGAGAUAGCUGGUUCUCCCCGAAAGCUAUUUAGGUAGCGCCUCGUGAAUUCAUCUCCGGGGGUAGAGCACUGUUUCGGCUAGGGGGCCAUCCCGGCUUACCAACCCGAUGCAAACUGCGAAUACCGGAGAAUGUUAUCACGGGAGACACACGGCGGGUGCUAACGUCCGUCGUGAAGAGGGAAACAACCCAGACCGCCAGCUAAGGUCCCAAAGUCAUGGUUAAGUGGGAAACGAUGUGGGAAGGCCCAGACAGCCAGGAUGUUGGCUUAGAAGCAGCCAUCAUUUAAAGAAAGCGUAAUAGCUCACUGGUCGAGUCGGCCUGCGCGGAAGAUGUAACGGGGCUAAACCAUGCACCGAAGCUGCGGCAGCGACACUGUGUGUUGUUGGGUAGGGGAGCGUUCUGUAAGCCUGUGAAGGUGUGUCGUGAGGCAUGCUGGAGGUAUCAGAAGUGCGAAUGCUGACAUAAGUAACGAUAAAGCGGGUGAAAAGCCCGCUCGCCGGAAGACCAAGGGUUCCUGUCCAACGUUAAUCGGGGCAGGGUGAGUCGACCCCUAAGGCGAGGCCGAAAGGCGUAGUCGAUGGGAAACGGGUUAAUAUUCCCGUACUUGGUGUUACUGCGAAGGGGGGACGGAGAAGGCUAUGUUGGCCGGGCGACGGUUGUCCCGGUUUAAGCGUGUAGGUGUGUGUUCCAGGUAAAUCCGGUUCACUUUAACACUGAGGCGUGACGACGAGGCACUACGGUGCUGAAGCAACAAAUGCCCUGCUUCCAGGAAAAGCCUCUAAGCAUCAGGUAACAUCAAAUCGUACCCCAAACCGACACAGGUGGUCAGGUAGAGAAUACCAAGGCGCUUGAGAGAACUCGGGUGAAGGAACUAGGCAAAAUGGUGCCGUAACUUCGGGAGAAGGCACGCUGACACGUAGGUGAAGUGAUUUACUCAUGGAGCUGAAGUCAGUCGAAGAUACCAGCUGGCUGCAACUGUUUAUUAAAAACACAGCACUGUGCAAACACGAAAGUGGACGUAUACGGUGUGACGCCUGCCCGGUGCCGGAAGGUUAAUUGAUGGGGUCAGCGCAAGCGAAGCUCCUGAUCGAAGCCCCGGUAAACGGCGGCCGUAACUAUAACGGUCCUAAGGUAGCGAAAUUCCUUGUCGGGUAAGUUCCGACCUGCACGAAUGGCGUAAUGAUGGCCAGGCUGUCUCCACCCGAGACUCAGUGAAAUUGAACUCGCUGUGAAGAUGCAGUGUACCCGCGGCAAGACGGAAAGACCCCGUGAACCUUUACUAUAGCUUGACACUGAACAUUGAGCCUUGAUGUGUAG